rnacentral:rRNA from 1 species
CCCAAGGGUAUGGCUGUUCGCCAUUUAAAGUGGUACGCGAGCUGGGUUUAGAACGUCGUGAGACAGUUCGGUCCCUAUCUGCCGUGGGCGCUGGAGAAUUGAGGGGGGCUGCUCCUAGUACGAGAGGACCGGAGUGGACGCAUCACUGGUGUUCGGGUUGUCAUGCCAAUGGCACUGCCCGGUAGCUAAAUGCGGAAGAGAUAAGUGCUGAAAGCAUCUAAGCACGAAACUUGCCCCGAGAUGAGUUCUCCCUGAGACUUUAAGUCUCCUGAAGGAACGUUAAAGACGAUGACGUUGAUAGGUCGGGUGUGUAAGCGCAGCGAUGCGUUGAGCUAACCGAUACUAAUGAACCGUGAGGCUUAACCUUACAACGCCGAAG